rnacentral:lncRNA from 1 species
ACUUAUAUUGUGCUUGACUUCAAAUUCAAUAAUAGUGUAGGAGUUGUGAUUCAAUUCAAGGUUGAAAAUUGAGUAUUUUAUAGUAAGCUUGGCUCCAUUGCAGCUUAUAGCAGAUUGGUUGUGCUUCUCAAUUGAGGUUGUGAUCAUAUGGAUAAAUUUGUUGUAAAUGCGGCUGGAUAACCCUUGCAGAGCUACAUGUAUCAAAUGUGUUAUGGCUG